rnacentral:rRNA from 1 species
AUUGAACGCUGGCGGCAGGCCUAACACAUGCAAGUCGAGCGGUAGAGAGGUGCUUGCAUCUCUUGAGAGCGGCGGACGGGUGAGUAAUGCCUAGGAAUCUGCCUAGUGGUGGGGGAUAACGUUCGGAAACGGACGCUAAUACCGCAUACGUCCUACGGGAGAAAGCGGGGGAUCUUCGGACCUCGCGCCAUUAGAUGAGCCUAGGUCGGAUUAGCUAGUUGGUGAGGUAAUGGCUCACCAAGGCGACGAUCCGUAACUGGUCUGAGAGGAUGAUCAGUCACACUGGAACUGAGACACGGUCCAGACUCCUACGGGAGGCAGCAGUGGGGGAAUAUUGGACAAUGGGCGAAAGACCUGAUCAGCCAUGCCGCGUGUGUGAAGAAGGUCUUCGGAUUGUAAAGCACUUUAAGUUGGGAGGAAGGGCAGUAAGUUAAUAACCUUGCUGUUUGACGUUACCAACAGAAUAAGCACCGGCUAACUUCGUGCCAGCA